GACGAACGCUGGCGGCGUGCUUAACACAUGCAAGUCGAGCGGUAAGGCCCUUUCGGGGGUACACGAGCGGCGAACGGGUGAGUAACACGUGGGUGACCUGCCCUUAGCUCUGGGAUAAGCCUGGGAAACUAGGGUCUAAUACCGGAUAUGACUCCAUAACGCAUGUUGUGGGGUGGAAAGCCUUGUGCGGCUAGGGAUGGGCCCGCGGCCUAUCAGCUUGUUGGUGGGGUGAUGGCCUACCAAGGCGACGACGGGUAGCCGGCCUGAGAGGGCGACCGGCCACACUGGGACUGAGACACGGCCCAGACUCCUACGGGAGGCAGCAGUGGGGAAUCUUGCGCAAUGGGCGAAAGCCUGGCGCAGCGACGCCGCGUGGGGAUGACGGCCU
rnacentral:rRNA from 1 species